rnacentral:rRNA from 1 species
UACGGGGGGGGCAAGCGUUGUUCGGAAUUACUGGGCGUAAAGGGCUCGUAGGUGGCCAACUAAGUCAGACGUGAAAUCCCUCGGCUUAACCGGGGAACUGCGUCUGAUACUGGAUGGCUUGAGGUUGGGAGAAGGAUGCGGAAUUCCAGGUGUAGCGGUGAAAUGCGUAGAUAUCUGGAGGAACACCGGUGGCGAAGGCGGCAUCCUGGACCAAUUCUGACACUGAGGAGCGAAAGCCAGGGGAGCAAACGGG